rnacentral:rRNA from 1 species
GUGGGGAAUUUUGGACAAUGGGCGAAAGCCUGAUCCAGCAAUGCCGCGUGCAGGAUGAAGGCCCUCGGGUUGUAAACUGCUUUUGUACGAAACGAAAAGCCUGGGGCUAAUAUCCCCGGGUCAUGACGGUACCGUAAGAAUAAGCACCGGCUAACUACGUGCCAGCAGCCGCGGUAAUACGUAGGGUGCAAGCGUUAAUCGGAAUUACUGGGCGUAAAGCGUGCGCAGGCGGUUUUGUAAGACAGUGGUGAAAUCCCCGGGCUCAACCUGGGAACUGCCAUUGUGACUGCAAGGCUAGAGUGCGGCAGAGGGGGAUGGAAUUCCGCGUGUAGCAGUGAAAUGCGUAGAUAUGCGGAGGAACACCGAUGGCGAAGGCAAUCCCCUGGGCCUGCACUGACGCUCAUGCACGAAAGCGUGGGGAGCAAACAGGAUUAGAUACCCGUGUAGUCC